rnacentral:rRNA from 1 species
CCCGGUGCUCUGUGAUGCGCUCUCGAAGAGUCGAGUUGUUUGGGAAUGCAGCUCAAAAUGGGUGGUAAAUUCCAUCUAAAGCUAAAUAUUGGCGAGAGACCGAUAGCGAACAAGUACCGUGAGGGAAAGAUGAAAAGCACUUUGGAAAGAGAGUAAAACAGUACGUGAAAUUGUUGAAAGGGAAACGCUUGAAGUCAGUCGCGUCUUCUGGGACUCAGCCUUGCUUCUGCUCGGCGCAUUUCCCAGCUCGACGGGUCAGCAUCGGCUCUGGGGGACGGACAAAGGCGUGGGGAAGGUGGCAGCUCCGGCUGUGUUAUAGCCCCGCGUCGUACGCGCCCUCUGGGACCGAGGAAUCCGGCGCUCGCGCCUGGGAUGCUGGCGUAAUGGCUUUAAACGACCCGUCUUGAAACACGGACCAAGGAGUGCUACAUGCUCGCGAGUGUUUGGGUGGAAAACCCGAGCGCGCAAUGAAAGUGAAAGUCGAGACCCUUUGCGGGGGCACCGACGCCCGAGCCUGAUGUUUUCGGACGGCCUUGCGGUAGAGCGAGUAUGUUGCGACCCGAAAGAUGGUGAACUAUUCCUGAGGAGGGCGAAGCCAGAGGAAACUCUGGUGGAGGCUCGUAGCGGUUCUGACGUGCAAAUCGAUCGC